UCUCGCGAGAUUGCCUCUGCCGCGACUCUUCUCUCUCUCCAGUCUUUUUGGUUCUCACCUCUUUCAGUCCCGGUUUAGGUGCAGUUUUAUCUAGUGCCACCUUUGCUGCUCCAGCUCCAUUCCCAGAAAGUCCCUGUGAUGCAGCUUUGGCGAAAUUUCCACCAGGGGCCCAACUAGUAGGUGCUUUAGAAGUCUUUGCUGUAAAAUAAUGAAUGAAUCUAAAGCCA